GACGAAUGCUGGCUGCGUGCUUAACACAUGCAAGUCGAACGGUGAAGGAGGGCUUGCCCUCCGGAUCAGUGGCGAACGGGUGAGUAACACGUGGGCAACCUGCCCCUCACUCUGGGAUAACGCCGGGAAACCGGCGCUAAUACCGGAUACGACCAGGCGCGACAUCUCGCCUGGUGGAAAGAAUUUCGGUGAGGGAUGGGCCCGCGGCCUAUCAGCUUGGUGGUGGGGUAACGGCCCACCAAGGCGACGACGGGUAGCCGGCCUGGGAGGGGGACCGGCCACACUGGGACGGGGACACGGCCCAGACGUGUACGGGAGGCAGCAGUGGGGAAUAUUGCGCAAUGGGCGAAAGCCUGACGCAGCGACGCAGCGUGAGGGACGACGGCCUUCGGGUUGUAAACCUCUUUCAGCGGGGACGAAGCGAAAGUGACGGUACCCGCAGAAGAAGCACCGGCUAACUACGUGCCAGCAGCCGCAGUAAAAC
rnacentral:rRNA from 1 species